GGUGAGGGCUCCAGCAUGGCAGGCUGCAGGUCCCGAGCCCUGCCCCCUUGCCCCGCGGGGAGGUGGCUGAGGCCCAGCGAAAAUUCGAGCGCGGCGCCGGCGGGCCAUCACUGUUGGAGGACCCAGUGCACCCUCCGCAGCUGUUGGCCCGGGUGCUAAGCCUCUCACUGCCCAGGGCCGGCGGCGCCAGCCGACCGCUCAGAAUGCGGGGCGCGCCGAGCCCGCGCCCACCCGGAAGUCGCGCUGGACCUGCGAGCACCGCAGGCAGCCCAGGUUCCGGCCCGCGCCUCUCCCUCCACACCUCCCCGCCAGCAGAGGGAGCCCGCUCAGGCCUCAGCCAGCACAGGGAGGGGCUCCCACGGUGCAGCUGCGGGCUGAAGGGCUCCUCAAGCGCGGCCAGAGUGGGCUGAGGCCGAGGAGGCGCGGAGAGCCAGCGAGGGAUGCCAGCAAGCUGUCACCUCUCAGAAAUACAGGAAGAACAUCAAUAAUGUUCGAAGUUAUAAAUUGCGGAGGUCAGAAGUCAGAAAACAAGGUGUCUGCAGGACCAACCUCUCCUCUGGAUGCUCUAGGUGUUGAAAUUUCCAGGAUGCAAAACGAAGGGGCAAUUCAAAACAUUCAUCUCCACUUCUCAAAAAGCUUGUGUUUCCUGAAUGGCUUCCCCCUUCCUGUUGAAACUGCAAGGCCUGCUGCCCUUUGCUCUCUGGGAUCU
rnacentral:lncRNA from 1 species